ensembl:lncRNA
GCAUCAUGUCACAAAAGCUCAAAUCAUUUCAAACUGGUUCAUUAAACAUGUCAAUACAUUUCUAAAAAAUGACAAAUGGGUUCUGAAACAUUAUUCGUUUACGCUGCACGUGCUCAUAUUUGGCUCUUUUUUUUUUUUUUUUUUUUUUUAAUCAGAAGGAAAAACAAAUUACUCUGGGGGUGGGUAUAAAAAGAAAACACUUUAUUUUGUAUAGCUGUAUUCCUCUUGGUUUUGUGCAAUGAGAUGUAGUGAGGAAACGGAAAAUAAAUCGGCCAGCAUUAAGCGGUGCCGAGCUCUCCAUCCUCCAGAUCUGCGGAUUAUUUUCUGAGAUCUGGAUUUGUGACACAGCACAUGGACCCAGCAGCUGAUCUUUGUGUCAUUAUGCAACCUAAAUCUGAACUCCGUACCCGGUGCGUGUGCAUGGCGGGAGCGCGCGUGGUGUCUCCGCAUGUGACGUAGUAUUGUGUGCGGGAGUGAGCGCUCGGCAGCUCUCGGUUGGGUUCGGUGAGUCAGAGUCGAAUCGGGCGAGCAACACGCGAGCGGGGGAUUUGUGGAACACUUGUUCGGCUGGUGAGCGGUCUCCUGACAAAAAUCACAACUGUUUAAACAUGUCGGGGGAUAACGAAGAGACUCAGACAGCUGAGGAGACGCCGGUGGAAGAGAAGGUAAACGCGGGCUUUUCCUCACGAGCCCCGGGGACGGUUGCUUCGUGGUAACCUAACACUGUAGCUUAGCUUCUCCUCUUCCUCUAUUUCGUUGUUGACAUAUAAAUCACAACUAGCUACCGAGACCCAGGAGGUUCAGGAAAAGACGAUCAGCCCCGAGAAGGCAGAAGAGGCUAAACUGAAAGCAAGAUAUCCAAAUUUGGGAAAUAAACCCGGAGGGUCGGAUUUACUUCGGAAACGCCUUCAGAAAGGGCAAAAGUACUUUGACUCUGGUGACUACAACAUGGCAAAAGCGAAGAUAAAGAACAAACAGCUGCCAACAGCUGCACCAGAGAAGACCGAGAUCACAGGGGACCACAUCCCCACCCCCCAGGACCUGCCCCAGAGGAAACCCUCUCUUGUGGCCAGUAAACUGGCAGGCUGAUGUACACGCAGCCUCAGAUGGCCCCCUCAGCACCUCCCAGCCCCUAAUCCUCUCCACUUAAGUCUCAGAGAUUUAAUAUUACCUCUCCUAUGUCUCACUUUAUCACUCCACCCUCUCCACACUGGCCUGGGCCCCACCCAACUGGAUUCCACACCUCCAGGUCAACCAUGUCAAAUCCUCUUUUUUGUUUCAACCCACCCUUUGGCUUUUUCUCUACUGCCACCACAUCCUUUCCUCUGUUAUUGUCCUCCUACAUUUCCUUCAUGUCUUGUCUUUACCUCCAUGUUUGUCCAUGUACACUGAAGAAACGGUCUGUGAUGCCUCUGAACAAUGGAUGGACAGCAGAUAUGACUGUUUACGAGCUGAAGUGAGGGGCGAGCAGCAGAAGCUUGCAUCUUGUGAGGUUUGGGCGCGGGGGGGAUUUAGUGUGGUGUUCAGUCUGGAGAUUAUGAUUGUGUGUGUGUGUGUGUGUAUGUAUCUGAUAUAUAUUUGUCUGGCACAGGGGCAGAAUGUUUUACAUCAGAUUUGUAUUAUUCACUGUAUGACCUUACUCUAAAUUAUGCUGUCAAUAUGCUUGAAUGAUUGAAUAUAGUAAUUCAGAGGCCAAGUUCCGUUUUAUUAACACUAUGAUUGUGUCUGCAUUAAAGGACCUUGCAGUAAAGGCUGGGGUGUCACUUUGAACUGCAUGUGUGAUGCUGGGCUCCCGAAGGUGAAGCUUCACAUACUGCAUUUUUAUUCAUCAAGGUGCACUGAGCAGAUGUUUAAAAGAGAUGCUAAAAAGCUUGGGUGCGGCUCAAAUGCUGGUAGCAGGUAGUUCCUUCAAGAAGUGUCAGAAAUAGAUCCUCUUCUUAAAAGAGCAAAAUGCAGUGUUUUUAAGUUUACACUGUGUGCUGCUCCAUUUUAUAUGCCGACACAGUCCUCUCCUAAGGAUGGAGUCAUCAUGAAUGAAUCAGGUUUUAAAGGGUUAGAGGGGAUACAGGACCUGAAGGGUAAAAUCCUUCAGAGGGACCAGUCUUUAUGCUGUAUACAUUGGUGGACAAAAACAAGGAACAAAUAGUGUAAGUUUUGGGGAAAUAAUCUUGUGUAAUCAUGACUUAAAGUAGUUUUAUCUUUAGCCCUGCAUAGUGCUUUUCCAGAAGUUUUUACUGGCCAGAUGCAAUUUACUUGUGGUGUGAUAAAUCAAAGCUAGGACAUCUGUCCAAGUUGUGCAUGUACAUGGCUGCCCUGCUGUCACAUUGUGCCAUUUUGUUUUGUAAAUAAAGUAGUUUUGCACAAUACUUUUGUGUAAUCUUUAAAGACC